rnacentral:rRNA from 1 species
UACGUAGGGUGCGAGCGUUGUCCGGAAUUAUUGGGCGUAAAGAGCUUGUAGGCGGUUUGUCGCGUCUGCUGUGAAAAUCCGGGGCUCAACCCCGGACUUGCUGUGGGUACGGGCAGGCUAGAGUGUGGUAGGGGAGACUGGAAUUCCUGGUGUAGCGGUGAAAUGCGCAGAUAUCAGGAGGAACACCGGUGGCGAAGGCGGUUCUCUGGGACGGUACUGACGCUGAGACGCGAAAGCGUGGGGAGCGAACAGG